UCAGGAACCCGCCCAGUAAAGCAGCAGACCUGUGCCAGCUGGGAGGCUUGGUGAAUGGCCGGGUCUGAGCAACGGAAGGUGACAGAAAACAGCAGCAGCUGCUACAGCACCAGCCUCGAGCCAGGCAGACAUCAUUGUCCUGGACCCUGGGCAGGCACAGCUUUGGCAUGAACAGUGCCAAAGGCAAUGCCUCAAAAGGCCACUUUGGGGUCAGCAGCAAUGGAGACCUCAGCCCGAGCGUGGAUGUGAAACCUAGACUCCUGACGCCAUUUUGCACCAUGAAAAUGAAGCCUGCCGCCUAGAGAUGUAUGGAAUCAAAGGUCUCUAGAAGUCCAAGAGCAGAGCCCCUA